rnacentral:rRNA from 1 species
AGAGUUUGAUCAUGGCUCAGAACGAACGCUGGCGGCAGGCUUAACACAUGCAAGUCGAACGCCCCGCAAGGGGAGUGGCAGACGGGUGAGUAACACGUGGGAACAUGCCCAAAGGUACGGAAUAUCCUCGGGAAACUGGGAGCAAUACCGUAUGUGCCCGAAAGGGGAAAGAUUUAUCGCCUUUGGAUUGGCCCGCGUUGGAUUAGCUAGUUGGUGGGGUAAAAGCCUACCAAGGCGACGAUCCAUAGCUGGUCUGAGAGGACGACCAGCCACACUGGGACUGAGACACGGCCCAGACUCCUACGGGAGGCAACAGUGGGGAAUCUUGGACAAUGGGCGCAAGCCUGAUCCAGCCAUGCCGCGUGAGUGAUGAAGGCCUUAGGGUUGUAAAACUCUUUCGUCGGGGACGAUAAUGACGGUACCCGAAGAAA